UGAACGCUGGCGGCGUGCCUAACACAUGCAAGUCGUGCGAGAAAGUCGACUUCGGUCGAUGAGUAGAGCGGCGAACGGGUGAGUAACACGUGGAUAACCUGCCUGGGAGCGGGGGAUAACCUGGGGAAACUCGGGCUAAUACCGCAUACGUUCUCAGCGUCAUGGCGCUGAGAGGAAAGCUGGCCAAUUCUUGAAAGCUAGCACUCCUAGAGGGGUCCGCGCUCGAUUAGCUUGUUGGUGGGGUAAUGGCCUACCAAGGCUGCGAUCGAUAGCCGGCCUGAGAGGGCGAUCGGCCACACUGGGACUGAGACACGGCCCAGACUCCUACGGGAGGCAGCAGUGGGGAAUAUUGGACAAUGGGCGCAAGCCUGAUCCAGCAACGCCGCGUGGAGGACGAAGGCCUUCGGGUCGUAAACUCCUGUCAGUUGGGACGAAAAGCCGUCGAUUAAUAGUCGGCGGUCCUGACGGUACCAGCAGAGGAAGCCCCGGCUAACUCC
rnacentral:rRNA from 1 species